rnacentral:ncRNA from 1 species
AAGGAGCAAGAACUAUCAAGAUUCAAUACAGUGUUUCUUUAAUGAUCGCAAAAUGUUGGACAAUAUUAUGCAUUUAGGAAAAAGUUUUUUUUUUUUUUCAAGCGAUUCGAAAUGAUUCUGACGUGUAAAUCGAUCAUUUGAAUUUGGUAUAAGGGCGAAAGACUAAUCAAACUAUCCAGUAGCUGGUUUCUUCUGAAAUUUCCUUCAGAAAUAGCUGGAAUACGUAAUAAAGCUGUUAUAUUCGGUAAAGCGAAUGAUUAGAGGAAUUGUAGGACGAAACGUCUUCAACCUAUUCUCAAACUUUUAAUGAGUAUGACGUCUCUUGUUUGCCUUAAUGGGCGUAAGCAUUGAAUGUGUAUUCCACGUACGCCAUUUUUGAUAAGCAGAUUUGGCGCUAUGAAAGUUGAGUUGAAGUAAAGUUAUAAAUUAUUUUGCUAAUAUUAUUUACUUUAACUAUCAUUAUUUAUCUU